rnacentral:rRNA from 1 species
GACGAACGCUGGCGGCGUGCCUAAUACAUGCAAGUAGAACGCUGAAGGAGGAGCUUGCUUCUCCGGAUGAGUUGCGAACGGGUGAGUAACGCGUAGGUAACCUGCCUGGUAGCGGGGGAUAACUAUUGGAAACGAUAGCUAAUACCGCAUAACAGUAGAUGUUGCAUGACAUUUGCUUAAAAGGUGCAAUUGCAUCACUACCAGAUGGACCUGCGUUGUAUUAGCUAGUUGGUGAGGUAACGGCUCACCAAGGCGACGAUACAUAGCCGACCUGAGAGGGGGAUCGGCCACACUGGGACUGGGACACGGCCCAGGCUCCUACGGGGGGCAGCAGUAGGGAAUCUUCGGCAAUGGACGGAAGUCUGACCGAGCCACGCCGCGUGAGUGAAGAAGGUUUUCGGAUCGUAAAGCUCGGUUGUAAGAGAAGAACGAGUGUGAGAGUGGAAAGUUCACACUGUGACGGUAUCUUACCAGAAAGGGACGGCUAACUACGUG